rnacentral:rRNA from 1 species
GAUGAACGCUAGCGGCAGGCUUAAUACAUGCAAGUCGUGGGGCAGCAUGAACGUAGCAAUACAAUUGAUGGCGACCGGCAAACGGGUGCGGAACACGUACACAACCUUCCAACAAGUGGGGGAUAGCCCAGAGAAAUUUGGAUUAAUACCCCGUAACAUAGCGAUGUGGCAUCACAUUGCUAUUAUAGAUUUUUCGCUUGUUGAUGGGUGUGCGGCUGAUUAGGUAGUUGGCGGGGUAACGGCCCACCAAGUCUACGAUCAGUAGCUGAUGUGAGAGCAUGAUCAGCCACACGGGCACUGAGACACGGGCCCGACUCCUACGGGAGGCAGCAGUAAGGAAUAUUGGACAAUGGACGCAAGUCUGAUCCAGCCAUGCCGCGUGAGGGAUUAAGGUCCUCUGGAUUGUAAACUUCUUUUAUAGGGGACGAAAAAAGGCUUUUCUAAGUCGUCUGACGGUACCUUACGAAUAAGCACCGGCUAACUCCGUGCCAGCCGCCGCUGUAAUAC